AGAUUUCUGUAGACAGAGCCAGAUGCUACAGUGUAUAGAGGAGGGAGAGAUAUGGCGGGUGAAUUUCUCAGCUCUGCUCACAUCUUCAUCACAACAGUAUGAGAAGGAAUGUUUGUCUGUGAUUGACCAGUUAAUGAACAAACAGAAGUUUGGAGAAGCAUGAAAGUUUGCCAAAAUUACAGGAAUUUCUGCUCAUCAUGUCACCAUACUUCAGCUAAAACAAGAGAAGGAAAGACUGAGCAGUACAGAUUUCAGGCAGUCAAGACACGCCAGGUUAAAGUUUUAUAGAGACUGUACCAUCAAGUUUAGAAAACAUGAAAUUCCUCCAGAGAAAAUUGCUGACUUCUUCAAGGAACUGUGAUGACACUGAGGAAAUAUUCUACAAUCUUCACCAUGGUUACCAUUGAAUAGGGAUUCUCACAUAGCAAUUGCUGUACAGUGUAAUGCCAGCAUGUAUGUUUUUUUAAGCAAACGACAGUGUAUCAAGGCAGAAGCUGUGCAUCUG